GGAGUUAGCCGGUGCUUCUUCUGUGAGUGAUGUCCUUCCUGCCGGCUAUUAACCCGCAGGCCUUCUUCCUCACUGAAAGUGCUUUACAACCCGAAGGCCUUCUUCACACACGCGGCAUGGCUGGAUCAGGGUUGCCCCCAUUGUCCAAUAUUCCCCACUGCUGCCUCCCGUAGGAGUCUGGGCCGUGUCUCAGUCCCAGUGUGGCUGAUCAUCCUCUCAGACCAGCUACGGAUCGUCGCCUUGGUGAGCCGUUACCUCACCAACCAGCUAAUCCGACAUAGGCUCAUCCGAUAGCGCGAGGCCCGAAGGUCCCCCGCUUUCCCCCGUAGGGCGUAUGCGGUAUUAGCCUGGGUUUCCCCAGGUUAUCCCCCACUACCGGGCAGAUUCCUAUGCAUUACUCACCCGUACGCCGCUCGCCACCAGGGAGCAAGCUCCCCGUGCUGCCGCUCGACUUGCAUGUGUUAGGCCUGCCGCCAGCGUUCAAUCUGAGCCAUANNAACAACUNACACNGNGGCGGNGUCGACGACGGCGACUAG
rnacentral:rRNA from 1 species